GUCUAUGGCCACGCUACCCUGAACAGGUUCGAUCUCUUCUGAUCUCGGAAGCUAAGCAGAGUUGGGCCUGGUUAUUACUUGGAUGGGAGACCACCUAGGAAGACCAGGUGCUGUAGGUG
rnacentral:rRNA from 1 species